UUUGUAUUUGAACACUGUGUGUGUC
rnacentral:piRNA from 1 species